AUAGGGGAGCCGUAGGGAAACCGAGUCUUAACCGGGCGUUAAGUUGCAGGGUAUAGACCCGAAACCCGGUGAUCUAGCCAUGGGCAGGUUGAAGGUUGGGUAACACUAACUGGAGGACCGAACCGACUAAUGUUGAAAAAUUAGCGGAUGACCUGUGGCUGGGGGUGAAAGGCCAAUCAAACCGGGAGAUAGCUGGUUCUCCCCGAAAGCUAUUUAGGUAGCGCCUCGUGAAUUCAUCUCCGGGGGUAGAGCACUGUUUCGGCUAGGGGGCCAUCCCGGCUUACCAACCCGAUGCAAACUGCGAAUACCGGAGAAUGUUAUCACGGGAGACACACGGCGGGUGCUAACGUCCGUCGUGAAGAGGGAAACAACCCAGACCGCCAGCUAAGGUCCCAAAGUCAUGGUUAAGUGGGAAACGAUGUGGGAAGGCCCAGACAGCCAGGAUGUUGGCUUAGAAGCAGCCAUCAUUUAAAGAAAGCGUAAUAGCUCACUGGUCGAGUCGGCCUGCGCGGAAGAUGUAACGGGGCUAAACCAUGCACCGAAGCUGCGGCAGCGACGCUGAUGCGUUGUUGGGUAGGGGAGCGUUCUGUAAGCCUGUGAAGGUGGCCUGUGAGGGUUGCUGGAGGUAUCAGAAGUGCGAAUGCUGACAUAAGUAACGAUAAAGCGGGUGAAAAGCCCGCUCGCCGGAAGACCAAGGGUUCCUGUCCAACGUUAAUCGGGGCAGGGUGAGUCGACCCCUAAGGCGAGGCCGAAAGGCGUAGUCGAUGGGAAACGGGUUAAUAUUCCCGUACUUGGUGUUACUGCGAAGGGGGGACGGAGAAGGCUAUGUUGGCCGGGCGACGGUUGUCCCGGUUUAAGCGUGUAGGUGUGUGUUCCAGGUAAAUCCGGUUCACUUUAACACUGAGGCGUGAUGACGAGGCACUACGGUGCUGAAGCAACAAAUGCCCUGCUUCCAGGAAAAGCCUCUAAGCAUCAGGUAACAUCAAAUCGUACCCCAAACCGACACAGGUGGUCAGGUAGAGAAUACCAAGGCGCUUGAGAGAACUCGGGUGAAGGAACUAGGCAAAAUGGUGCCGUAACUUCGGGAGAAGGCACGCUGACACGUAGGUGAAGUGAUUUACUCAUGGAGCUGAAGUCAGUCGAAGAUACCAGCUGGCUGCAACUGUUUAUUAAAAACACAGCACUGUGCAAACACGAAAGUGGACGUAUACGGUGUGACGCCUGCCCGGUGCCGGAAGGUUAAUUGAUGGGGUCAGCGCAAGCGAAGCUCCUGAUCGAAGCCCCGGUAAACGGCGGCCGUAACUAUAACGGUCCUAAGGUAGCGAAAUUCCUUGUCGGGUAAGUUCCGACCUGCACGAAUGGCGUAAUGAUGGCCAGGCUGUCUCCACCCGAGACUCAGUGAAAUUGAACUCGCUGUGAAGAUGCAGUGUACCCGCGGCAAGACGGAAAGACCCCGUGAACCUUUACUAUAGCUUGACACUGAACAUUGAGCCUUGAUGUGUAGGAUAGGUGGGAGGCUUUGAAGCGUGGACGCCAGUCUGCAUGGAGCCGGCCUUGAAAUACCACCCUUUAAUGUUUGAUGUUCUAACGUGGACCCGUGAUCCGGGUUGCGGACAGUGUCUGGUGGGUAGUUUGACUGGGGCGGUCUCCUCCUAAAGAGUAACGGAGGAGCACGAAGGUUGGCUAAUCCUGGUCGGACAUCAGGAGGUUAGUGCAAUGGCAUAAGCCAGCUUGACUGCGAGCGUGACGGCGCGAGCAGGUGCGAAAGCAGGUCAUAGUGAUCCGGUGGUUCUGAAUGGAAGGGCCAUCGCUCAACGGAUAAAAGGUACUCCGGGGAUAACAGGCUGAUACCGCCCAAGAGUUCAUAUCGACGGCGGUGUUUGGCACCUCGAUGUCGGCUCAUCACAUCCUGGGGCUGAAGUAGGUCCCAAGGGUAUGGCUGUUCGCCAUUUAAAGUGGUACGCGAGCUGGGUUUAGAACGUCGUGAGACAGUUCGGUCCCUAUCUGCCGUGGGCGCUGGAGAACUGAGGGGGGCUGCUCCUAGUACGAGAGGACCGGAGUGGACGCAUCACUGGUGUUCGGGUUGUCAUGCCAAUGGCACUGCCCGGUAGCUAAAUGCGGAAGAGAUAAGUGCUGAAAGCAUCUAAGCACGAAACUUGCCCCGAGAUGAGUUCU
rnacentral:rRNA from 2 species